rnacentral:rRNA from 1 species
AUGCCAAUCACAUGGCGUCGAGUGUUGGUUCGGAGCGUACUGUCUGCGCUGCCUGCCUUUGCGCUUGUUGUCCUGCGCGCCCCGAAGAAAGUCUACAAGGACAUCGACAAGGCAAGGCAACGGUUCCUGUGGGCGCAAGAUGAGGAGAUCACCGGAGGAAAGUGCAAAGUGAACUAGUGGCUGGUCACUUCUCCUGUGGACCGCGGCGGCCUUGGUAUUCCUGACAUGGAACGCUUCGCGCGCGCCCUCCGCCUCUGAUGGCUCUGGCUAGCAUGGAACGACCUAGGCAGGUCGUGGGUGGGCACGGGGACGCCGUGCGACGACAAGGACCGGACGCUCUUCGCCUCGGCAACAAGGGUGGUGGUCGAAAACGACAACAGAGCUCUCUUCUGGAACUGCUCCUGGUUGGGUGAGCAGCCGCUCCGGCAAGCCUUCCCCGUGUUGUACAACCACUCCAUCAGAAAGAACCGCACGGUGGCGGAGGCCCUACGGGGAGACAGAUGGGUCCUCGACCUCAGGCACGGCAACACAAUGUGGCGAUCAUCCCCCGGUUCAUGCUGCUGCGGAACCGCAUCCGGGAGGCUAACUUGGAGAUGUGGGAAGGAGUAG